AGGAAAAGAGGCCACCAUAGUCCUGGAGGAGUUACUUCCAGAAGGUGUUGAUCCUGAGAGUGCUUUGUUAAAAAACAUUCUCCAUGCUGACCUCCAUUUUUGAGCCCGCUUCCUGGGGAAACCUGAAACAGGACUCGAUGCUAGCAGCUGCCCAGAAGAACCAGAUGGGCCACUGUCCUUGCCAGAAGAUCUGAUCUCCUGUAUAUGGCCACCACCUAACACUGCUCACUUCUACAUCUAAACCUCAGUUUCCUCUACUACCCAUUCAAUGUUUACUAUGCCUUCAUUCAACACCCCAGCUGGCCUAAGUUCUUUUCCUGGUGAAACAAUCAUCAUUUUUGUGCCUGAGAGGUCUGAACUCUUGGCGACCCUACUAGUAUGAGGUUUCUAUGGUUU